AAGGGAAACGACUUUGGACUCACGUAGGCAUAGGAGAACGAAACUUCUGUACAUUUUAAUCUGAAUAAUUCUUCAGGAUUUAACAUUAAUUGGCUCUGGCUUGGUUGGACCUUACUCGGAUCUCGCCACCUCUGCGUUUCCCGAGUCACUGGCGAAGAGGGAUGGGGUUUUGCCAUGUUACCUGGGCUGGCCUCGAACUCCUGAGCUCAAGAGAUCCACCCACCUCAGCCUCCAAAAGUGCUAGUCCCGGUUCCUCUGGGAAUCGUCCUGUAUGCAACAUCUUCACAAGGGUGGCAGGCAGUUGAAUCUCUGGACUUCGUGAGACCACUGGACAUCUGGCAGAGAACCAGGAAGCCACGGUUCCCUUCUGUGAGUCCCUCAGCCGGAAAACUACAAGAAUGCAUGGCAUACAUCACCAAGAAUCAAAGGUUGUCCCUGGCAGUGUAAUUGACUCCGUAAUAAAGAGAGAAGCUUCGCUAGCUCCUGAUGCAGCUGCUGUCUGCAGACCCCCUAGACUGCCUGGGGAAGUGAGUCGGAGCUCCUGCAGCAGAGGGGUGGAACAGCUACACGAAGAUCCGAAGGUGGCCAAAAAUAACAGCGCUUUCCAGAUGAGGGAGCCAGUUGUCCAGCACAGUGUCAUGGGACAGUGGGUCCUGGUGCCACAAUGCCCGGCAUCUCCACCAGAUACAUCUUUGAGAUCUUCAUGAUGAAGCUUGCUCCAAUCCAAGGGCUGCCAGAUGGAGUUUGCUGUUCAGCUGCUAACCUUUCUUUGGUCCCAGUGGUCCAAGCAUGCUGGCGUGUUUAUUAUUUCUUUAACUUCCAAGCUGUUUCCUACUCCUGGACCUUUCCACAUGUUUUUGGAAAUGUUUUCAUUUUUCCUGAUACUUUUAUCUAUAACCUCAUUCUUCAGGCUUCUAUUGCAAGACCUUCUAUACUGAAGCACUUGUUUAUAUGAAGGCUUCACUAUCCAAAUCCUGUGUUCACUGGCUUCAAGAAUCCUGUCUUCAUUGGCUUCAAGAAUCCUGUCUUCAUUGGCUUCAAAACUGGGAUGAAGGAGGCUCCUUAGUGGAGAGCAAACCAAAGAGAAACUCAAAUUGGAUUCAUAUUAAAGAAGAGAAGGAUGGAUUUGUUGAGACAACACAAACCCAGGAAGGGUUUGAGGGGUGAAACAAACUGGGUUAUGGAUGAACAGCGGGCAAUUGGAAUGUAGAACUGAAACAGCAAUUAACAUCUUGGGAGAGUGUUCAAUAAAUGGUGCUGGGAUCGCUGGCUAGGCAUAUGCAGAAGAAUGAAACUGGACCCCUGCCUUUCACCGCAUACAAAAAUUAACUUGAGAUGGAUUAAAGAUUUAAAUGUAAGACCUCAAACUGUAAAAAUUCUAGAAGAAAACCUAGGAAAUAUUUACUAGACAUCAUCCUUGUAAAGAAUUCUUCGCUAAGUCCACAAAAGCAAUUGCAACAAAAGCAAAAAUGUAUAAGCAGGAUCUAACUAAACUAAAGAGCUUCUGCACAAUGAAAGACUCCAUCAACAGAGUAAACAGACAGCCUGCAGAAUGGGAGGAAAUAUUCACAAACUAUGCAUCCAAUAAAGGUCUAACAUCCAGAAUCUAUAAGGAACUUAAACAAUUCAACAUGCAAAGAACAAACAACCCAUUAAAAAAUGGACAAAGGACAGGAACAGACUCUUCUCAAAAGAAGACAUACAAGCAACCAAAAAACAUGAAAAAAUGCUCAACAUCACUAAGCAUCAGAAAAAUGUAAAUUAAAAACCACAAUGAGAUACCAUCUCACACCGGUCAGAAUGGCUAUUAUUAAAAGUCAAAAAAUAACAUGCUGGUGAGGCUGUGGAGAUGAGGGAAUGCUUCUGCAAUGCUGGUGGGAAUGUACAAUUUCAGCCACUGUGGAAAGCAGUUUGGAGAUUUCUCAAAGAACUUAAAAAUGGAUCUAGCAUUCCACUCAGCAAUCCCAUUACUGGGUAUAUACCCAAAGGAAAAUAAGUUGUUCUAGCCAAGAGAUACAUAUACUUCUGUGUUCCUUGCAGAGCUAGUCACAAUAGCAAAGACUUGGAAUCAACCUAGAUCCCCAUCAACUGUGGAUUGGAUAAUGUGGUACAUAUACAUAAUGGAAUACUAUGCAGCCAUAAAAAGAACAAAAUCAUGUCCUUUGCAGCAACCUGUUUGCAGCUGGAGGCCAUUAUCCUAAACAAACUAACACAGAAACAGAAAACCAAAUAGCGCACAUUCUCACAUGUAAGUGGGAGCCAAAUAUUGAGUAUGCAUGGACAUAAACAAUGAACACCGGAGACUGCUAGAGCAGAGAGGGAGGAAAGGGAACAUGGGCUAAAAAAACUACCUAUUGAAUCCUAUGCUCACUACCGGGGUGAUGGGAUCAUCUGUACCCCAAACAUCAGCAUCACACAGUAUACCCAUUUAACUAACCUGCAUUGUAGCCCCUAAAUCUAAAAGUUGAAAUUGCUAAAAAAAAACAAAACAUAAAUAAAUAAACUUAGAUAUGCCCUGCCUCCAAAAAAUGAGGAGAGUUUGGUGGUGGAAUGAGGAGGGAAAAAAUGCCCUUAAGUGCUACACCGCAACAGAACCCCUGGAAGACAAAGGAGAAGAAGAUGAUGGCAGCUAAUGGAUAGCAUUUACAAUAAUGAUGACAACACCAGAUCGUGCUUACAUUUCCCAUGUACCAAACAGGGGCCUCUAAGCACGUUGCAUAUAUGAACCAUUUAAUCUUUACCACAUUUUGUCUGGCCUACCUUCUUUUUUUUGAGGUAGGGUCUCACUCUGUUGCCCAGGUGGGAGUGCAGUGGCAUGAUCUUGGCUCACUGCAACCUCUGCCUCCCAGGUUCAAGUGAUUCUUGUGCCUCAGCCUCCCGAGUAGCUGAAAUUACAGGCUCACACUACCAUGCCUGGCUAAUUUUUGUAUUUUUUUCGUAGAGCCAGGGUUUCAACCAUGUUGGCCAGGCUGGUGUUGAACUCCUGACCCCAAGUGAUCCACCCGCCUUGGCCUCCCAAAGUGCUGGGAUUACAAGCCACAGCACCUGGCCCUGACUUACCUUCUAUGGCUAUAAGGACUAAAUGAAUUUGUAUUUGUAAAGUCCUUUAAAUAGUGCAAUAUAAAAGUUUGUUAAUAAAGCACACUUUUACUGAGACACACAGAGGUUAAGUACCUUGCCUGAGGUCACACAACUACUCAAUGGAAGAAGUAGAAUUAGAACCUGGGCCAUCUGGUACAGGAGCCCAGGCUGCCCCUAAGAGAUCUCUGGUCAACUCAGAAAGUGAUGGGCUUGGCUCCUCCUGCCCUGAUUUCACCUUACCCACAAAGAAUGUCAAAGGAGAUGCUGUCUUUCUCCAUGGGAGAAAUGGGAAUGACCAUUAAAGCUGAAGAAUUCCAACAAUGGGCACCCGCUGGCGAGCUGGGGGCUGCAUUACUUCUGCCCCAUCUCACCUCCUCCCAUCCACUCCAUCCCUCUGUCCUUAUUUGAGGUGACUGGGUGGGAAAGGCACUCUCUUAGGAGGUUUGAUGUGACAUUAUUUAGGAAAAUGGAAACAAAAUACAGACCCAGUCUGUAGAAAUGUCACUAUUACUGGAAAAGGAAUUAAAAUCUCCUUAAAUAACCAAUGUUUUCAAGAUCUCUGGGUGAAGACUCAGAGUUAAGGUCCUCCCUUUCUCAUUCUUUUCUCCGUUCCUCUUCCUCUUCCCUGGUUUCUGCCCCUCAACUAUUGACCAACCCAUCUCCCUCUCCCCACUGUAACAAUAAUGGUCAUAACAAGAAUGCUAGAAGCUCACAGUCACUGAGCUCUUGUUAUGUAGCAGGCAUGUUAAUUCAUGAUCUCAUUUAAUCCCUGUAACAGCCUUGUGAAGAAGUGACUAUUUUCUUAACCUACUUUAUAUGUGAAUAAAUUGAAGUUCAAAGAAGAUAAAUCAUUUGACUGGUAAGUGGAAAGACUGGAAUUGGAGCUCCAAUCUCUUGCUAAAUCCAACGCCACACUUUCUCUCCUUAUCCCCCAAGGUGCUGGCACCAACUCCACUAAGCAUUCAGUUUUCCAGCAUCACCUGAUUCUUGGAAGAUAAGUGGGUAGAUAUGCAUGGGCCUCCCUGAGUUGGAUACUCUGGCACGUUUCACACGUGGUAUUCCAGCCAGUUGGACUGUGACUUUUAGCCAGAAAGGUAAUGAAAUGCACCAAAUAGGAUCACGGGAUUUGUUAUCAAGGCCAGCCCCUGUUUAUUGAGUGUCUGCAAUGGCCUGGCAUUUGUGGUAGCUGCAGAGAGAAAUGCAGUGGCGAAGGGGAUGUGAUCUUGCUAUCAAGAAACUUAGCAUUUGAAAAGGAAAAUGAGACCAGCUCACAUCAGAAGAAGAACCUAAGAAAAACAUGGUGGGGGGGAUUCUUUGGGGAUAGUGCCUGAGUGUCUACCCCUAACACUUUUUCCCUUUUCAGCCCCUUCAAGCCAUGUGGUACCAAGGCCACCAGUGGGAUACUGAACCUGAUGCUAAUAGGGAUGCUGAGACAUCUGAGGGUUGAGUUAGAGGUGAAGGAGUAAAGAAAGAGAAAGCCGGCCUCUUUUCAAGGUCUGGGCAAAGAGAGCAGAUUGUGUGCCUCCUGAAGGAGACCCUUCACAUAUCUUCAUCAGGAUGUGGUCCAUGGAAGGACCUUCUACUUCUGCUAAUCAUGGUAGCCCUGGAGGAUUGAGGCAGAAACUAGCAGAUGAGCUUCUGCAUCUGGUAGGUUGGGUGUCCUGUCAGUCUUUUCAGUGCCUCAGCAGAUGGUAACAGGAAGAGAAACUUCCUUACCAUUUUGGACUUUCUCCUUGCCCAGAACCAAACAUCUGACCUAUACAAACUAAUAGAACAUGACCUUCAAGAAAAACCGUAGCUUCUCCAGUGGGAUUCAGGGACUAGAGCAGAGAAACCCAAAUGGUUAGGACAAACGACUCAUUGCUGAUAGAAGAGAUGGAGAGAUGAAGAUGAAAAUAAUGAGCAUUCUCAAAGACAUGUCAUUGAAACACCACAAAGAUCUUCUGGACCUACGGUCAUGAUGUCUGCAUUGAAAUAGCUAUUAGAUGAAUGAGGGAAAAAUGGCAUAAUUUUUGAUAGCAACUGAAUUAGAGAGCUGGAGGAUUAAGUAAAAGGAAACACAACAUGUUAGAAAGAUGGAAACACAUGAGUGAAAACGUAGGUGACUUAAAGCACAGAUCCAGGAAAUGGAACAUGCAAAUAAUAAGCCAUCCAGAAGAAAAAAAGGAAAGAGUAGAAAAGUGGUUACUAUAUCCAAAAUGAAGGAACAUUUCACUGAGCUGAAGGAAGACGUUAGUUUCCUGAUUACAAGAGCUGAGUCUAAGUAAGAAUUAAGACAAAACAAAACAAAUCCAAACAAAAACAUGUAACUCAACAUAUCCUCAUUAAAUUCAUGACUAUUCAGUGUACUAGACACUGUGGAGUUUCACCCAGAUACCCCCUUCAGGACUGGGGCACCCUAACUUCCCACCCACUGCUGUCCAUAUCCAAUACUUGUUGAUGCAAUGUACAAAGGAAUGGUUCUCUUGUCCCAAUAUGAAAACUCAAACUCAGCUCCCAUAAGAUUAGCUGAGGCCUCUGUUAAGGCUGCACGCAGCUACUCAGAUAUUCCCUUUGCCCAAUCCUGCCUCUUUAUCCCUUAUAGUCAUUGUUCUCAAGAGCACUCCUCUGUAAAAUUCCUCCUGCCCACAAAUCCCCAUCUCUGAAUGUUUCCCAGGGAACCUGACCAAUGACACUUUAUACUAAACAAAGCAAAACAAAACGAAACAAAAAUCCAAAAACAGAAACAAAACAAAAUUCUCCCUUAAAAAACCCCCUAAACUGAUGACAUUUUCUAAUAGAGCAUUCUGAUUAGUUGAAAAUAAAGGAGAGCUGGGUGUGGCAGCUCAUGCCUGUAAUCCCAGCACUUAGGGAGGAAGAGGUGGGAAGAUAGCUUGAGCCCAGGAGUUCGAGGCCUGCCUGGGCAACAUAAUGAGUCCCCGUUCUCCACAAAAGGAAAAAAAAAAAGCCAAAAAAAUUAAAGGAGAAUUGGACUAGUGUUAUGCUUGUCUGCCAUACGGAAAGCUGAAAGAUGAAAAAAUUAAGUGUAUAGAGAAAAGCCAACUGAAAGUUAGAGAUGGUGAAAUAAAAUCUAUUGUGAGAAAAGGUCUGAAAUCAAAGAAGCAUAUAAUUAAGAAAAUAUUGUUUAUUUGGUUCCAAAGAAAAUUAUUUUGGAAACAGGUAAGGACUCUGUUUAUUACCCCUAUAGCCUUUCUGGUGAAAACACUGUAGAAAAUUAUCUACCCAAAUGACAACUGAAAACAAUGGAGAUCUCAAGACCAAAAGGAUCGGAAACAAUGGAUCAUGAUAAUGAUGUAAUUGAGAUGUUGUAAAAUAUUGGUGAGUAUGGAUUAUUGGAACAGAAAGAAUGAGAUGUUGGGAAAAACUCUGGAGUUAAGAGGUGUGGCUGUGUGUGAUGGUAGGGGGUAGGGAAAUUAAUAUCACAGUGGGAGGAAAUAAUUACUUACUAAUGAUAUGCUAAUAGGGGAGUUAACAUUAGCUUCAGUAGUUAUGGAAGGAAGGUAAUGUUUAGCACAUUUGACAAACAAAAAUACCUCCCAAAUUACCAGGAGGAAUAAAAAAAUGAAGAGAAACUUAACGAGGCCAGCAAAAAAAUACAAAAACAGGUAAAAAAGAAACAAUAGCAAAAUGUAAAAAAUUGAAAUUAAAUAUAAGAUGGAGGAAUUAAGUAGAUCAGUUAUUACAAGAAAUAUAAGUGGAUACAGUUCCUUUUCAAAUGUCAGACUAGGUUAAAAAACAAAACCCAGCUUAAUGCUCCAUACAAGAGUUAUACCCAUGACAAAGUGAAAUACUGUAAAUUAAGGGUUGGGCAAAGACAUCCUAGACAACUGCAAAGAAUAACAGAACAACAAACCCCAAGGUAUGAAAGUUUGAAUUCAUGAAACACUUCAAAGAAAUAUACUAUGUAAUGAUAAAUGGCAUAGCCUAUUAAAGAAAUAUGAUGAACACAAAAUAUCAAAUAACACAGGAGACAAACACAUAAAGUAAAACUGCACUCCAGCCUGGACAACAGAGAUAGACUCUGUCUCAAAAAAAAAAAAAAAAAAGAAUACAAUUGUAGGGGGUAUAUUUAAUAAAGCACUUUCAGUAUCUGGUAGAUUAAGUAAACAACAGGCCAGAUGCAGUGGCUCAUACCUGUAAUCCCAGCACUUUGGGAGCCCAAGGCAGGUGGAUCAAAGGGUCAGGAGUUUGAGACCAGCCUGGCCAAUAUGGUGAACUCCGUCUCUGCUAAAAAUACAAAAAUUAGCUGGGUGUGGUUGCAGGCACCUGUAGUCCCAGCUACUCGGGAGGCUGAGGCAGGAGAGUUGCUUGAACUCGGGAGGCGUGGAGGUUGCAGUGAGCCGAGAUCGUGCCACUGCAUUCCAGCCUGGGUGACAGAGUGAGACUCCACCUCAAAAAAACAAAACAAAACAAAAAAACCCCCAAAAAACCAAACAGUAAACAAAAAUAUAGUGAAUUUCAAUAAGAUAGUCAAUAACAUGGAACACACAAACACCCACACACAGAUCUAUGCAAAUGUGUGUGUGUGUGUGUGUGUGUGUGUGUGUGUAUCAAGGUACUCUACAGGAAUUUUUAUCUUUAUCUGUGUCCAUAAAGCAUUUGUAAAAGUUAAUAGGUAACUGACGACACAAAAAAAACUAAAUAAAAUUUAAACAGUAGAGGUUUCAUAGGCUACAUUUCUGAUCAUAAUGCAGUAAAACUAGACAUGAGCAUAAAAAGUUGACAAAAAGUUCUUAAAAUUAAAAACACUCUUUUAAAUAAUCCUUGGAUCAAAGAAGAUAACCAAAUUAAAGUUAUGAAUCAGAGUAAUAAAAGUAGUAUUUCCUACUAUAUAAGACAUUCAAACAACUUUGUACUGAGGCAAAAAUUAUACCCUUAAAUUGUGUUUUUUGUUAAAAAAAAAGAUUGAAAAUAAAUUUUAAAAUACUGAACUUAAAUUCUAAAGUAACAAUAAAA